rnacentral:lncRNA from 1 species
GGCCAGCAGCUGUAGAUCUGGUUAGACCCCUAGCCUGGGAACCUCCAUAUGCCAUGAGUGUGGCCCUUAAAAAAUAAAAUAAAAAAUAAAACAAAAUAAAAUAUUUGAUUGAUCAUUAUUACCUAAAAGUGUUGGGAGGACGUAAAAAUUACUUUUGAUAGAUAGAAAAUCAAAUAGCUGCUCAAGAUUUUUAUUUUCCAUUCAUGAUAUACAUGCCUUGAUAUCUCAGAAAAGUAACCUCAUCUGGUGUAGAAAAAAAGUGAUAAUUACCUAAGGACUCACUAAUUUUUACACUAAAUAUUCACAACUGCUAAAGUAUUAUAGCAUUUCUUUAAAUCAGGAAUUGGUAAAUUGGCAUUUUCUAUAAGAGAUCAGAUAGUAAAUAUAUUGAGUUUAGUGAGUUAUUACAGACUGUCAUAACUACUCAGUUCUGUUAUCAUAAUACUAAAGCAGCGAUAGACUGUAUUGAAGAGAAAGGACUUAGCUGUAUCUCAAUAAAACUUUAUUUACAAAAACAUGCGGUAGACCAGAGAUGGCCCAUAGACAUAGUUUUCUGAUUCCCCUCAUCUAAACUAUUACAGGUGAUCUUACAUGUACUAUCUUUCAUUAAUCAGGUAGUAAUGAGAAAAUGAAAAUAUAAAACAGUAAAAUUUAGGUAUGAGAAUAAUCCAUAGGACUUUAGUUCUCAGAGAAUAACAUGUCAAAAAUUUUCUCCUUCAUAGUACUGUCUUGAACCAGCAGAUGGAUUCAAGGUAAAUUUUGGCAGAGAACCAAGAGCCAAUAGGACACACUAAUCUAAGAGAGGAAUCCAUGAUGACUUCAAACUUUUCAGCAUAAGUCAAUGGUGAUGAUAUUUAUUAAAAUAAAAAGACUAAGUAGGAAUAUAUUUGUGGCCAGGGAUAGAAUUAAAAGUCCUAGAUUGGAAUGUUGAUCUUGAAAUGUCUAUAAAACAUCAAAAAAGAACUGCCAGGAAGGCUGCUGAAUGUACUGAGAUAAAAGGUUUUGACGAAAAAGAUAAAUUUGGAAAUCAUCAGCUCAUAGAUGGCAUUUAAAGCAAUAGAAAUGGAUGAGAAUACAUAAGCAGAGAAUGUAGAAAGAGAAAGCAAGACAGAAAAGAUCUCGAUGUACUUUCUGAAUCAUCCAAGAAAGAACUAUUCAUGUUCAGAAUAGUUAACCAGCUCUAAGAGGACUUUAUUGUACUCCCAACCUUGAUAAAUCUAUAAUUCAUAAGAGGCAGUAAACCCAAAUUUCUAUUCUUCUUUUCAAAUUUGUUGAAUCACAUGGCCUUUUCCCCAAGAUUUAUUUUGGGGUACAUGGUCAUCUAAACAAAAUUUGGAAAAUGCUGAUAAUUGUGAUUCAUGUAAUAUAUUUAAUAUAACAUUUUUUAUAAAUUAAUAUUCUUAUACUUAUCACCUAUGGUCUUCCAGUCAAAAAGUUAAUUGUAACCUUCCCAGUAUAAAUAAAUUCAGCCAAUUUCAAAUAAUCUCUGCCAUUCAGACUUGCACUUCCAUUUACUUCUAUCUACGUAACAUGAUCAAUGCCCUCCCUUUUGAGGUGUUACUUGCCAGUAUGUAGGUAAAUUUCCUACAGUUUAAUAAUGUGGAGAAAAGAUGAAAAGAAGUGAUACUUUCUUUUCAUCUUCUCAAGGGUUUUAUUCUUCACUUGUACAAGAGCACUCUUGUCAAAAAGAGAGACAGAGAUCCUGUCAUGGCUCAGCAGAAGCAAGUCUGACUGGUAUCCAUGAGGAUGCAGGUUCAAUCCCUGGCCUUACUCAGUGGGUUAAGGAUCUGGUGUUGUGUGAGCUGCAGUGUAAGUCGCAGAUGCAACUCAGAUCUGGUGUUGCUGUGGCUGUGUGUGGCAUAGGCUGGCAGCUCUAGCUCCAAUUUGCCCCCUAGCUUGGGAACCUCCAUAUGCCACAGGUGCAGCCCUAAAAGGCAAAAAGAGAGAGAGAGAGAGAGAAAUAUCAUAUAAUAUCACUUAUAUGGGGAAUCUAAAAUACAACACAAAUGAACCUAUCUAUGAAACAAAAACAAACUCACAUAAAGAAGAGACUUGUGGUUGCCAAGGGGGAGGGUUGUUGGGGAGGGGUGGAUUGGGAGUUUGGGAUUAGGAGAUGCAAACUAUUAUACAUAGGAUGGAUAGACAGUGUCCUACUGUAAAGCACAGGGAAUUAUAGUCAAUAUCAUGUACUAAAACAUAAUAAAAAAAAAGAAUAUGUAUGUACAUAUACAAGUGAAUCACUUUGUGAUAUAGCAGAAAUUAACACAACAUUGUAAAUCAACUACAGUUAAACAAAAUUAAGGGAAAAAAAAUUCUCUACUUUCAGGAAAGCAAUAGAAAAAGGAAAAGGGAAUAUUGGGAAGAACAACAGUGCUCCAACAAUGAAUUUAUUGCAAACAGCCAUUCCAUUUUCUGGACAAUGGGGAAAGAAAUAGUGUAGUUCUACUUUUGGUACAACUGAGUGGCUCCUGUCAGACAAACUCUCCAAUAAAUAAUAACUACAAAUUCUGGACAAGGUAUAAAACACAAUUAACUGGAGGUACUGAAGAGUGAACAAAAGCAGGCAGAAAAAUGAAGUAAAUCGAUAUUUGUAGAAAGAAAAUGACACUGGGUAAAAUUCCAAUUUUUAUAGCUUUCUGUAGGAUAGCAGUCUCAGGGAUAAAGGAAUUGAAUUGAAAUUUGAGCUGCCACCUACUGUAGGAGAGAUAAAAAUGUUCAAUUUCAGUUCAACCAAGUUACCAACUUGAUUUUUUAAAAAAUCAAUAUUCUUCAAAAGAACAUAAUAGAAUCAAGCAUUUCUAUAAAUGUCCGGGAAACAAUACAAAAUUGCUCAACAUACAAAUAAAUAGAAAAACAUAGCCCAUUCUCAAAAGAAAAGACAAUAUAGCCUGGUCCUGAGAUGACCCAGAUGUUGGCAUUAGCUGACUAGGUUUUUAAAGCAACUAUUAUAAUUAUGCCCAAGGAUAUAAAGGAAAAUAUUGUCAUAGUGUGUGAAAAUUAGAAUAUCUCAGAAAAUAAACUAUAAAAAGGACUCAAAUACAAUUUCUACACCUAUAACAUGUUAUAUCUGAAAUUUAAAUGUUAUUGGAUGGGCUUAGCAUCAGAGUGGAGAUAAGAGAGGAAAGAUCAACCAACUUGAAAACAGAUCAAGGGACGUGAUCCUACCUAAAGAUGAGUAGAAAAAAAGAUGGAAAAUAACAAAAGCCUCCAGGAAUUGUGGGGCAAUAUAAAAAUGUCUAUUAGGGAAUGUGUAAUGGAAGUCCCAGAAUGAAAGGAGAGAUAGCAUGGGAUAGAAAAUAUUUUUGAAAAAAAAAGUUUAAAUUGUUUUCCAAUUUGGUAAGGGUAAUAAACUUACAGUGGACACCAAGCAGAAUUAAUACCAAAAGAACUAUUCCUAGACCCAUUAUAGCUGAUCUGGUGAAAACCAAAGAGAAAAUCUUACCAGUAGACAAAGAAAAAUAACACAUUGCACGCAAAGGAACAAGAAUCAAUGACUCCUUAUCAGACACGAUUAUCUUUAAAGUGCUAAAAUUGGAGGGAGUUCCUGCUAUGGCACAAUGGGCUGCAAUGUCUUGGGUUGCUGCAGAGGCAAGUAUUCUGUACCUGGCCCAGCACAGUGGGUUAAAGGAUCCAGCUGUUGCUGCAGCUGCCACAUAGGUCUCAACUAGGAUUCAAUCCCUGACCCGGGAACUUCUGUAUGCUACAGACAUAGCCAUAAAACUUAAAAAAAAAAAAAAAAAAAAAA